UCAUUGGGCGAAGUGCUAUCCCAAGAAUUACCGAGGAAAUAGCUUCUUCCUUUUCUUCUGGUGGUGCUCGGGGUUAUGAGUAUGGCCCUGCUUUCAUCCCUGUAGUGAUUUGUCGCACCUUCCGGGUAGCUGGGGAGAAGUGCUUGGACCAUUAUGUAAGGUUAAGAACUCAAAAGAUAUCAGUUCUG